GCCUGACUUCCGGGAGCAGAGCGCUGGACGGACAAGCCAAUGCGCAUGCGCGAGGCGCCGGCUGUUUCCCCGUUCACAAUGACCCCCACGGUUGCCUAAGAAACCAGUCCCUGAGGCUUGGGAAAGCAGGAGCCCUCCGCGGCAGUGCGUCGGUGUCGAGGCUCCGAGGCUCCGGCCUCACCUCUCCAGGAGGUCGACAGAACGACAGGACGUUCUCCGAAUGCCAGGAGUCGCAGAGGGCAGAGCAGGAUGAAGAAACCACAGGCGGAGUCUAGGGGAAGCAGUACGGCGUCCCUGCCUCAGGCCUGCCCGGACGGUGUGCGGCCUGAGUGGCAGCUUUUCUAGGAUCAAGACCACACCUCAGCCAAGGACAAAAGCAUCAGAAGAGCUCAUUGUCCUGAGGGAGGGGAGCAGACCGACGUCAAAGAUGGUUUUAAGUCCGCGAGACUCUUCUCUGACAAAUGAAGCCACACCACGACACAGGCUUAAAGAAGAAGCCGGGAACAGGACAUGGCAAGGAUCCCUGUCACUGGAACACUGGCCUUUCUGGACAAGUCACCCGUUUGGCACUCCUCCCCGGGUGCCCGUUGCGGUGGCACUGUGCUGUAUCCUGCCUGGGCUCUGGCCUCUGCUCUGUCCUCCCUCUUGCUGUGUCUCCCGUUUCUGAGGGGUGCAGAUGCUUCUUGGUCUGCCUCAAUGUCUUCAACAAAGAACACUUUCCAGUCCAUCAGGGAGAAACUUCAAGGAGAUCCAUGUCAUGAUUGUUUCCCUCUGCAAACUUGUUUCUGGUGGAUUGGGCACGUGUGAAGAUCCUGGAGCUCUGGGCAUCCAUACCUGUCUCAGACAGGGAAGCUCCCUUGGUCUCCAUGUUUCACCUGAUGGCUGCGUAGUUUCCCUACAAUGAAUGGUAGGCGACCGUGGCUGGCCUUGGCUUCAAGAGAGGCGGUGUCACAUUUCCUCUGCAUUUCCUGUCUCAUUCUUAAGGGACAUCUGCUUCCUCUGCUCCUGGGUGGACUGCCUCCCAGAACUGAAUCUUUUGGCAGCCAAUAAUGUCAGGGAGCCAAAGGGACUGGGCUGGGGCUGGGUGCAUGGGAGGUUGCGUUAGGGCUACCUAGGCGGUGGAGGGAUGGAGGUGGAGUGAUCUUUACAGAAACCUCUCCGCUCCUCCAGCAGGCUCCCCAAAAUGUGGCUUGGACUUACGCACAGGGCCUCUUCUGGUUCCCAGCUGUGCUUUGCUUUUCCUUGGCAUUGUUGGGGAGGUCACCUGUGCCCCCCUUCCACCGGGCACAUGCCUGGACACCAGUGUUCGUCUCGCCAUCGCCCCAUAUGGCCUCGGUGACACACACUCACCCCAUCUGCUCUGGGGGACGCCAGUGCCACGUUUGGUCACAUUGGCUCCACCUCGGACUCACCCCUGUUCUUGUUUGCAUGUCUCCUGGAAAGCGGUGGCGGCACACAGCAGCCCCAGGACUUUGGCAAGCGGGGCAGGCCACUGCACCUCCCAGGGAGGAGGGAGGCAGAGGGCUCAUGUUUCAGUGAAUUUUCAGCUGACACCAUGCCUUCAGGCCCAUGGGAUCUUUCUGUGCCCCAGCGAGGCCCUGCCUGCCUCACCAGAUGAGGUGAGCCCAUCCCUGGUCACCUGGUGGGAUCCAAAAUCGGAUCUGAAGAGGAGUACUGAGACCCCAGCAGGCGCCCUGAACCUCCUCUUCCACUGGUAGAAGUUGGCUCAAGGAGGCCCUGAGGACAGGACUCCUGCGAGUCCGGCCCUAGGGCGCCCGCAGCCCCCACUCCCUCGCCGCCCCCUACUUGAUCCCGGAUUCAGCCACCACCGCGCUGCAGCAGGAGCCCCUACUGCCGCCGCCAUUGUUCGAGGGGGCCUCAGCCUGAGUUCCAGGAGCAGAGCACGAGUCGGCCUAGGCAAUGCGCAUGCCCGAGGCGCGAGAGGAUUAUCCCGUCACAGUGAUUCCCACAGUUGCCUGAGAAACCAGUCCCUGAGGCUUGGCAAAGCAGGAGCCCUCCGUGGCAGUGCUUGGGUGUCCGGGCUCCGAGACUCCGGCCUGACCUCUCCAUGGGGUCGAAAGGACGGUCUCUGGAUGCCAGGAGUCGCGGAGGGCGGACCAGCAUGAGGAAACCAUUGGCGGAAAAUGGCAGAAGCAGUGCGGCAUCCCAGCCUCAACUGCCGGGACGGUGUUCAAGUGUUCUAUGAUUUUCGUUGGCAUCGAUGGAAAGGUCACCUGUGCCCCCCUUCCUCCGGAACAUGCCUGGACACCAUUGUUUGUUUCGCCAUCGCCCCGUAUGCCCUCUGUGACACACAUUCACAGCAUCUGCUCUUGAAUACACCAGUGCCACGUGUGGUCACACUGGCUCUACUUUGGAUUUGCCCCUUUCCCUGUUUGCACGUGUCCUGCACUUUUACCAGAAGGUGGUAAAAGUAAGAGAAGAAUAAAAUUUUGGACAUGUAAAAUUCAUGUCUUCUAUAGAGUAACUGGGUAAAGAUAUCCAUCAGACUGUUAUAUAUGCUCUUCAGGAGCUCAAGUAGGGAUUGUAUUGCAAAUGAGUAAUUUGAUAUUUAUCAGUGUACAAUGAUGACUGAAACCAUUAUAGCCAUUGCAGUGUGGUGUGAUAAUUCACUGAUGCUAUGCGGAACAGGAUAUCAAGCAGGUUUUGGGGACAAGUACCAGUUAAGAAACAAGCAAAGAAAAGAAUUCAUAAGUGGAAAAUUGUUUUUAAGUGAUAAUUAUAAUUAGCAUCAUGAGAAAACAAUAUGAUGAAGCCAAGGAAAAUAUUUAAGAUGUCUUUUUAUAAAAGAGCCAUGAUGAGCAGAUUUUAACUUUGCCUCUCAUAAAACCAAUUAAAAAAACUUAAUUUUCAAAGGAAUGUAAAAAUAAGGGAAAAUAUCUUAAUUUGGGAUAGAAAUAAGAAAUUGAGGCAUCCACAUAUCCCAUAUUUUGAGGACUUUCUUACAGAAACAAUACACGUAAGAUGAGACGGAAAUCACCAAGACUUGGGUCAUGAGUUUCUGAGGAAGAAAUGAGGCAAACGUUAAUUCAACGUUUAAUGGUGACAAUCAUUGCUCUGAGCAACUUAACAACUCUUUAAUUCUCAAAAAACUUUCAUCUAUGUGUUUAGCCUCACUUUUAGGUCAUAAAACUGAGGAACUGACAAUUUCAGUAACUAUAAUUUGCGCAUGUCACACAGAAAGUAGUGGAAUGAGAAUUGAAAUCUACAUCUUAUAACCUCUAAAAUAUUUGCUUUUAACCUCUACACUGUUAGAAGUAACUAACUGGACACAUGGACAGAAUAGUUGUGUGUUUGUUUUCUCCUCAGAUGUGGAGAAUCAUGUAAGUAAAGGAAUGAGGCAGUAAAGAAAGAACUGUGUAAUAUAUUUAAGUGUAAGUAUUAACUAGUGGGGAAGGGUUCUAGAAGUCAUAGGAAAGAUGGGAUGAAAAACAGAAAAGACAUUAUAUUUAAGAGGAGGAACAUCUCAUUUUUUGAGACCAGAGUAAAGAAGAUAUGGAGAGGGCUGUGGACCACAAGUUUAAAACUUUGCCAAAGUAUUUUACUUCGUGUCCAUGAAAAUCUUUUAUUUUCCUCUGAGAAAUUAAUAGGCUUUUUUAUGAAAGACAGUGCAAACUAUAUAAUGAAUUUUGUUAAUUUUAGUUUUAUGUCCUAAUUUGUUUUUCCUAUGAAGGCCAGAUUCAAAUUUGAAGCUUAAUUCUUAAUGAACUUAUUUCUGUAUAUUUCUAAUUGAAAGUUUCUCCUUAAUCACUUAUGUUUUCCUAAUUUUGAUCCACUUAGGGUUUUCCAUCUUUUGUUGAGAUUAUUGUUAUCUACUUUUCCUGCCUUAUAGAAUAAGAUAAUAAAAUAAAUACAUCAUUUAAAACUCACGUAGGACUUCAUCAUUUCUUCUUCCUGGGAGACAGCAGAAUCCUGAGAUGGCCAAGGUAGGGGAUGGGUGAAAAAAUAAGCCAUCAAAAACCCCACUUGCUUAGCAGCUCUAGGAAAGGCAGACUAGGAAUCUCCAGUUAGUUAAGAUCAUCUGGAGGAACUUUGUGGGGAAAUAAUCUUAAAGUCUAUCAAAAAGCCAAGAAUAACUACACUGUUUGCAGGCACCAAUAUGUACAAGCAUGACUGACGAAAUCCUAUGGAGCUUCAAUAUGGAUUUUUAAACAUUAUUUCUAAAUUAAAAGUAUAAUUCAGAAGAUAUUUUUAAGCUAGCUGCAUACUUCACUCUUCGAUCUAUCCAUCCAUCCAUCCAUCCAAUCACAAACUUACAGAAAGUUGCAAGUAUAGCACCAGGAACUUUCUUGUUACUGAACCAUUUGAAAGUAAAUUGUUGACCUAAUGCUACAUCACCCCUGAAACAGGAAUUAAAAGAAAUUAAAGAGUGUGUAAGCAAAAACUCAAUUGUAUGUGAGAAAACCCAAUUCCCCCUGAGAAACAGAAAGAGCUGGAGUCCUUUAAAAAAUUAACUGCCUGUUUUUCUGUGGCUAGUGAGCUUUAUCUCUCCCUUUCCCAGGCAUUGUGAAGACCCGGUUUCCCUAGCUGUGCAGCUGCAAGGUCACUAGACAGAUAAACUCAAGUCGCAAAACAUGUUUUUCCUUGAAAAGUAAGAAAUGAUGUAAUGCAUGUCUCACUUGCAUAAGUGCCUUUGUUUCUCG
rnacentral:lncRNA from 1 species